rnacentral:rRNA from 1 species
GACGAACGCUGGCGGCGUGCUUAACACAUGCAAGUCGAACGGUGAAGCGCCUUCCUUUUUGGUGGGUGUGGAUGAGUGGCGAACGGGUGAGUAACACGUGAGUAACCUGCCCCCUUCUUCUGGAUAACCGCAUGAAAGUGUGGCUAAUACGGGAUAUUCUGGGUCUGUCGCAUGAUGGGUCUGGGAAAGAUAUUGUUUCGGUGGGGGAUGGGCUCGCGGCUUAUCAGCUUGUUGGUGGGGUGAUGGCCUACCAAGGCGGUGACGGGUAGCCGGCCUGAGAGGGUGGACGGUCACACUGGGACUGAGACACGGCCCAGACUCCUACGGGAGGCAGCAGUGGGGAAUAUUGCACAAUGGGCGCAAGCCUGAUGCAGCGACGCCGCGUGAGGGAUGGAGGCCUUCGGGUUGUGAACCUCUUUCGCCAGUGAAGCAGGCCUGCCUCGUUUGUGGGUGGGUUGACGGUAGCUGGAGAAGAAGCGCCGGCUAACUACGUG